AUGAAUGGUCCGCGAGGCGCCACGUCCACUAUGCAACGGCUAACCUUCGUUCACCGCGAAACGCCCACCGCCGCGCCGCACUCCGUCGAUUCCCCAACCCCGAUCGACAAGGACACCGCCGGGAAGAAUCCGACCAUGAGCGCCGCCGCGGCCAACGUCGCCGUCAUCGGAGCCGGAAUAACGGGCGCCGUGUGCGCCUCGCUCCUGGCCACGCGCGGGGUGGCGGUGACGCUCUUCGACUCCGGACGCGGCCCCGGCGGCCGCAUGGCGCAGCGGAGGGAGGUGAUGGACGACGGCACGGAGCUACGGUUCGACCAGGGCGCGCCCUACUUCACCGUCAGCAACGACGAGGUCGCCGGGGUCGUGGGCGGAUGGGAGGCGCAGGGGCUCAUCACCGAGUGGAAGGCCAUGUUCGCCUGCUUCGAUCGGGAGACCGGCAAAUUCAGAGACUUCGAUAAGGUCCUGUCGUAA
rnacentral:rRNA from 1 species